UCAGUAUUCGUCCAAGGAAACGCAGCACAAUCGCAAGUCUCGGCCGAUUCUUCAUGGGGAUCUCAUCCAAAACAAUUUGGUUUUGUGCCCAAUUCAUGUUCUACAUUUGCUUUAAUUUCGAUGUUGCAUCGCUGGUUGGAAAACACGGAUGGCACUAAUGGCACUGGUUCGCGCGUCAGGGUUGCACUUCUGGAUUACAGAAAAGCGUUUGACUUAGUGGAGCACAAUAUUUUAAUUGCUAAACUUGUUUAGUCUUGGAGUCAAACCGACUGUUGUAAAUUGGAUUGUUGACUUUCUACGUGGCAGAUCACAGCGUCUAAAGCUUAAUUCUGACUGCUUUUCAAAUUCCUAAAUAGUUUCAGGU